rnacentral:rRNA from 1 species
GAUGAACGCUGGCGGCGUGCCUAAUACAUGCAAGUCGAGCGAACAGACGAGGAGCUUGCUCCUCUGACGUUAGCGGCGGACGGGUGAGUAACACGUGGAUAACCUACCUAUAAGACUGGGAUAACUUCGGGAAACCGGAGCUAAUACCGGAUAAUAUAUUGAACCGCAUGGUUCAAUAGUGAAAGACGGUUUUGCUGUCACUUAUAGAUGGAUCCGCGCCGCAUUAGAUAGUUGGUAAGUUAACGGCUUACCAAGGCAACGAUGCGUAGCCGACCUGAGAGAGUGGUAGGCCACCCGAGAACUGAGACACGGUCCAGGCUCCUACGGGAGGCAGCAGUAGGGUAUCUUACGCAAUAGGCGAAAGCCUGACGGAGCAACGCCGCGUGAGUGAUGGAGGUCUUCGGAUCGUAAUACUCUGUUAUUAGGGAAGAACAACUGUGUAAGUAACUAUGCACGUCUUGACGGUACCUAAUCAGAAAGCCACGGCUAACUACGUG